rnacentral:misc_RNA from 1 species
GAUGAAGAACGCAGCGAAAUGCGAUAAGUAAUGUGAAUUGCAGAAUUCAGUGAAUCAUCGAAUCUUUGAACGCACCUUGCGCUCUUUGGUAUUCCGAAGAGCAUGCCUGUUUGAGUGUCAUGAAAAUAUCAACCUUGACUUGGGUUUUGUGCUCUAGUCUCGGCUUGGAAUUGGGUGCUUGCCGCUUUUACGAGCGGCUCACCUUAAAUGUAUUAGCUGGAUCUGUCUUUGAGACUUGGUUUGACUUGGCGUAAUAAGUAUUUCGCUAAGGACAUUCUUCGGAGUGGCCUCGUUUCUAGGACGCUUGACCGCUUUCCAAUACAAGUUCCACCUCGUGGACAUGACUUUUUAUUAUCUGGCCUCAAAUCAGGUAGGACUACCCGCUGAACUUAAGCAUAUCAAUAAGCGGAGGA